UAAAUCGUGAUUUAAAUCCGUUUGAUUUAAAUCAAAUCCACCCUGGUCCUUUGUCCUGCUUUGAGCAUAAGCCAAAGUAGUACCUCUGCAGAAUAAAAGCUUUGAUCUUUAAUACCUCUCAUCUGGGCUGAUUAUUGGCUCCAUCUGCCCAGAAAAGAACCUCCCCUACUGGGUCAAGUCUACCCUAAUACACCAAGUGGUGCCGUGUCUCGGAUUUGGGGUGAAUUUAAGGACCCCACUGGGCGGUGCGUCCCCUCCGGGGCUCUUGCUGGGUGAAAAGGCAUGCCGGCUACCGGGAAGCUUCCCGAGUCCUUUUUCACAGGCAGAGCAGCCCCCGAGUGGCCACCACAAGUGAAGGAGUCUAGAGAGGCAGAUCAUUGGGUGCAGUCCGGCCGGUGGGAUGGAGAAGCGUGCAGGGGUUAAUGUCCCAGGUUAUUGAGGUUGCAAGGACUGGGGUGAGUAUUGUGCAGGCCUAGACACUAUUGUGGGUUUAAGUCCCAUCGUAGUCUAGGUGCACAAGAUUGGUUAAAGUCCUACUCAUUGGGUUGGUCCAGGGCUGCUCGGCUUCGGCCCUCCUGGCAGCUGCUUUUGUUGUGCAGCUGCGGGCCUGGGUUGAGGGGGCCUGGAUUACUCCCACCCGCUGGGUUUAAGUCCCGAGCCCCAUAUAGUGAUGGGGAAAAGCUCAGAGCAAUUUUGAAAGGGGAGUCAUGAACCCCGUUGGAAUGUGUUUUAUAGACCUGACUGGUUCUUGCAGGUGGCGUCCCGUUAAGGAAAAAUGAUUGGUCUUUGUCAAAAAUAUGGUUUUGUUAUGACUUGGAUGGAAUGAAAUGGCUUUUGGAAGUGAUAUUGCAGCUUCUAUUGUUUUGUACCCGGGUGGGAAUUGGUUAUCCACUUUUGUCCAGUUGGUUGUCCACUUCUGCCUGGGAGGUUUGUUUAACAUUAUAUGUUCUAAGGUUUGUGGACUGAAAUCGAAAGAGGCAGAGAAGGCUGUUUUUUUCUUCCUGCUGGAAUCAUGUUAUCUGUGUUCGGUUUCCAGCUGCUUGUUGUUUUGGCUGGGAGAAAGGGUGAAGGAGCGCACUUUAGUUUUUCUUUGUUUUUGUUAUUGAACUGAGCCUCAGCUCUUCCUUAGUGCUGUGAUUGUCAUCAAGCACUGCUUAGGAGGGAGGGAAGUUUGUAAGUAAGAAGGGGAAUUUGGAUGGGAUGUAUUGCUAUGUGGUUUGGAGUUUGAAGGAUGUAAGCUAAAUUGCAGGCAUGAUUGGAAAUUGUGGACGCUGUGGUCUAGAAUUUGCUCGUAGCCCUGCUUUGCCUUCACAGUAGCUGAAUCUUGACAUUCCAGAUGCCGGAUGUGGGAUUUGGUGAAAGGAAUUUUGUUUGGCCACUCCUGCAAGUGGAGGGGAGUUCCAAAGGACUGGUUUGCAUAUUACCCGGAAAACCUCCCAGAUCGAAAGGGAUCAAGUUUUUGUGUGUUAUCAUGGAAUCCAUACUCUGUUUUCACAGCUCCCGCCUAGAGAAUAGAUAAUAACUGUGUUUAUCACAGGCUUCACUCCUCGGCGAAACUAUGGACAUUUUUCUUGAUGAUAUCUUUUAAUAAGGAAGCCUGUUUGUUUCAUGAGACACUGGACCUCAUGUAAGGGGUUUUAAAUCCUGUUUCAACAAGGUAUAGUAUUAUUGCUUGGACUGGGUGGGGACUGUUUCUUUUCUAUAGGUUUUUAUGAGGAUAUUGUAGCCCUACCAGGCUUGCUAGUAAUGAGGCUGAAGAUGGAGAGCUGGAACACUAUCUGCACGUGGCUUAGAUGGGGAUAGUGAAAAUCCCAAAGUUACUGACAAUUGAAGUCAGGUACACUGGAUGGAGAUUGAUUGCCCUAACAGGAAUCUGUGAGUAUUUAGGCAGCCACUUAGGUCAGAGUGCUGGGCUAGGAAGGGGAGACCUGAGUUCGGAUCCUCAUUUGACCAUGACACUUGCUGGGUGAUAUUGGACCAGCCACUUAAACUGCCUGGCAUGCCUUGAAGGAUUGUUGUGUACAUUGUUGUGUACAGACAUAGGAUUUAUGUAGUACACUGCUUUGGACUUUUCAGAAGAACAGCUGGAUAUGAGAGAGACUCUAUGAGGCUAUGGGGGAAUGGGACUGUCAGUUCCACCCAAAGGGCCUUCGUGACAUUCAAGCACUGGAAUUUCUGUUGUGGCCUCUCAAGUGAUAAGACUAUGUUUUCCCACAAGGGGGGAAGGAUGUGGACUUCAUUAUUGUUUUCCCUUUUGGGUUUUUAUUGUUUUUUCCUCCUGCUCCGGAUUGCUCAUUGGGUGAGGCCUUUUCUACCUGUUGUCAACAGCAGUUGUCACAAGUCCCAACUGAGGACAUUAUCCCCUGUUCUGGACUUUGGGAAAAGGGGAAAAGGGCAAGCAGGAAAGCAAAACAUAAGUUGGAAAGAAAAUGCCUAAUGAUCAAAUUGAAAAUAGCCUCAGAUUUGUUUGUUGUAUUGGGCUAUUCAGGGACUCAGUCUCAGCAUGAUGUCCCUACCCAAGGGGGGGGGGGCUUGGAAAUUCAUGUGUCUAUCUUUUAUUCCUAAAAUGAGCAGGAUUGUCUUGAGCAGAGGACAACAGUCCUGACCCAGAAGGACUGGCAGUGUGACAGGCCAGGCAAACCAACGGCGGCUGCCUGGAAGCGGGGUUCCCCAUCUGCAUUCCCAGUCCAGGCCAAUGAUGAUGGAACAUCCAUUGGCUGCCCUGUUUUGGAUUCGAGGAAAGGGUCGUGAUGCAGGUUUCUUGUUCCUGCUUCUCAUACGUCCCGGAGUGUUGUAGUUACUGAUGCCGGACGUCUGAUGGAAUUAUGGUGAUGCCGAAUAUCUAAAUCGGUGCCAAAUAUCUGGGGAAGGCCUGUAUGCAUCCAGAGGACGGCCUUGCAUAUAUCCGUGCCCUGAGAAGCCUAUACCCACUAUACUUGGUGCCUCUCGUUCCCCGUGAGGGACAGUGACUCUACCUGUUCGACGACCCCAGCCUUUUGUAGACCCCAAGUUGAUCCUUAACACCCGGUUGUGUUCGAAGAAGGGGGGAGGGGAUAGGUUGUGGUUGUCAACAUAGGGAGCGGGCAUUCAUGUUGUGAUUUAAAAUGUCAAGCAGCCUUGCUGGCUGAAGAAUUCCUGGAUGAAUAAGUUUUAAAAGAAACACUUAACAUGUUUGGCUUUGGAGCUUCAUUGGAACUGGGUUAGAGCAUUGCCAUUGGCUCUCUCGUGUACGUCUGACCCUUUUGCCCCUUUUUGAGGUGUUCUGUGGGCGGUUCCCAUUUUGAAUGUCAUGAAUGACAUUGACUUGCUUGUGAGGGGGGAUGAAGAACAGCAGGUCUAUGUACAGGAACUGGUGCAGAGACUUGUUACCGGAUUUGCCUGCGUCCCCAACCUACUGCUGACCAGCCUCUACGUGUACAGUCUGGGGAGCCUUAAUGUCCGUGACUGUGGGAUUGGGGAUGGCUCUUGCAGCAUACUUGUAAAUGUAUUUUUGUGUAUUUCUGUCUAUUUCUGUGGAUUGGUUGGGUGCCCCAACUCAGUUGGGGUAGGAGAAGCCAAGUUAUCUGUUUGGUCACUCAGGUUUGACUGUGGGUUGCUGUAUUCAUAUUGUUCCCAACCACUUGGGGCCAAGUGAUACCCCACCCCCAAGGUACAGGCAGUAGUCCUUGCCACCGGGCUUAAGGACUGCUGGGUGUGCACACGUGCUGACAUACUGCGCAAAUUGCCUGGUUAGGAGGUCCGGUACCCCUCACAUGGUGGAUAAGGCCCCCCACGUGUGGGAUGAGGUCUUGUUUGGGUUAGCAACACUAACUGACCUUGCUUGGAGACCCACAUGGAGGGGAGGUGGGGCCCAGGUUAAGACCUUUAGCCACGCAUGGGGAAGGAAUUGGUUCUUCUUAGGAAUACCUGAAUGGUGGAGAGUGGAGCAUUGGUUGCAUUAUCCUGUUGGCAUCCAAAAUGAUACCACAUGGCUACUGUGCCCACACCUGGCUUGUUGGCAUUGUGAAUGGGGAGUUUGUCCCUGCAUAGGAUGAUUAUGAGCCCCCUCGGGAGGAGUGUCAAGAGUGCACAGCUGAAUGUGGGGAAGUAUUUCCCUCUGCAUGUUGGAGAACAUACAGGUCCCUCAGGUACAUUGUUCAUUUGCAUGGAGGGAGUACAAGGCUAGUGGGGAUUCUGGUGAGCAUUGAAACAUGCAGGGAUGAUACGUACACCUGGGAUACCCCUUUUGGUAUCUAUGGCUCAGCAUCAUCUGUGCCAACCACAGGGAUUACUCCCUGACCAGUGCUCCAGCCUGAAGGACCAAUGUAAGAUGUCUCUCAAUUGUUGGGAAGAAACACUGAGAGAACAGAGAUUUCUGCUAGAUUGAGUCAUUGUUGUGCUACCUACAGUAUGUUUCAUUUCUUACCCGUUAUGAGAUUAAAGGGAAGAGGCAAGCAAACUAAACACCAUGUGGUUGGGCGUGUCAGGAAGGAGACCAGUGCUGCCAUAGCCUUGGUGUUUCAGUGUGUGUGUGUGUGUUUCAGUGAGCAAAGGCAAGGUUUUAUGGCAGAGGAAGGAAACUGGGUUCUUUGAUAGUUUCCAGCAUUACCCUGGCAAACAUCUUAUGCUUCCUCUGCUUCAAUUAUAUUUCUUUUCUUGAGUCCAUAGUAAGUGGACUCAAGCAUAGCAAGUGGACUCAUGGCAUAGCUCCAUGUCACACCAUGCCAUGCUGUAGAAUUAUGCUAGCUUUGUGAUAGCAGUGAUGCGUAAAGUACUUGGCUAACUUGCAAGUUAUAAAAUGUAGAAACAAGAAACAAUAUAUUAAUGUUCAAUAUUGUAAUAACUGGCUGAACCGCAAGCUCUUAAACAAUGUAUCAAUUUGUACUAGCUCACUUCUGUAACCCAAUGAGCCAUGUGAUCUUGACAAAUUGAAUGCUUAGGUAGUGCUUACGAAUGGUAUGUAUGAAGGAACGCAUGAGUGAGCAGCAUCAAGAGGCCCCCUAGCCCCCACUCCCUCUCUAACACAGACAAUGUUUGGAAAGACGCCAAGGGCCUGAAGAAUCGGUGAAACCAGGGAGCACUGCCAGUGACGUUGUAAAGGAAGAAAGAGCUGAAGGAGACAGGAUGAGUACGUCUUGUAAUCACAGAGAUGAAAGUGGACUGCAAAUGUACCAACCGGAACCGGACUGGAAACUUCCCUUUAUAAGUCAGGCAGGAAACCAGAAGACCCCUGAGAAGCACUAACAUCCCAAGUGAGGCCUCUACGCUUCUUCCAACACCCCUUUCAAAGACUGAUCACCUUUGGAGUGGGGCUAGGUGAGUAUGUAUGUGUGCGUGUAUGAGUUAGAAGCUAGCUUGCUGUUUAAUUGGCUAUAAUAAACAUGGAUCCUUGAUUGAGUAAAACCAGCUGGUGUCUGCGUCCGUUUUCCUGGGGCUACCUUGUUGUUGUUGGUGCAGUGCUAAAAGGACUUAGAGUAAAUAAAGGUCCCACAAUGCUAUGGACGCCUCAUAUUUCAUUUUGGACUCCUGUUAUGUUUCUAAUUUCCAAAUUAACCCACAACGAUGAAAUCUACAGGCCAUGUGAUGUGUGGGAAGAGAAACUGUAGGACAGAGAUGUGGAUCAGGCAUCUCCCCUAUCCUGAAUGAACCAAGGAUGUAUUGGUUUUGUAGCCGAACAGCAUAUAAAACAUAACCCCCUGAGUGGAAGGGCCAUUACGUCCCAACCUAUAGGGCCCCUUGGGUGGCAGUACCUCCAGAGUAUUGAAUCUAGCUUUCUGCAUUGGCAUCGAACGUCAACCGAUGGCAGUGUGGAACACAGGGUUUCACAUGGCCUGGAGGGCAAUCCUAUCCAGUCUGGGGGUAAUUGGACUGGAAAGGGCGAUAAUCAUCAUCUCCCAGGAAGUUGAGGAGUCGUUUAAUGCUGUUUUGUGUGUAUUGUUGGACUUGCAAGGAGAGGUCCAGUCUUUAUCUGUGAUGAUGGUCUCCGAAAUGUUUCCAAUAUGCUCAUUGCCCAACAAGGGGAGGGGCAUGUGCCCAUUGUUGUUAUGUGGAUGGUGACGAUCAACAAUUGAUUGUCAAUCAACAAUUGAACCAAUGAUUGAUUUGUUCAAUCAACAAUUGAACCGGAAGGCUCAGGAACUUAGGAAUGCCCUGCAGGUGUUUUAUAACACAGGAAACCACACGAGUUGGGAUUCCUGGGAACAGCUUACCAGCUGGUUGCCUGACCUGAUAUGCUCAGCUUGCAUUGUCUUGAUCGAUAUCAUGAAGGUUCCAAAUGGAACUGUCCUGUGGCUUCCAUGUUUUACUCUAUCUAACCACUCAUUUCUAUGCCCUAUGACUUUGGGAGGGCACAUUCCAUGCAAUUGCAAACACUGUUAAUGUCACUUAUACUUGUAAAACUACUGAAGGAAAUGACUGAUAUAGCACUGCGUUUGGGGGUGGGGGCAUAUUUUCAGUGUGAACACAAGGAUUAUCCUAUUUCUCUGAUGUGGGUGUCGUUGCUAUGAGGGAAUACUUAGUAAGUAUGCCCUUUAUUUUAAUUGAUGGACUUAAUAGGAUAACUGUGUAUAAAAAUGUGCAGAUGUGCGUAAUAUCCUGGUGUAACUUAUUAUUUCCCAUGUUGGUUGUGAGAAGGAAGUUAUUUACUGUUUCUCCUGUACAGAACUGCUUCUUAUGAUAAUGUGCACUGAUGGUUGUGAUGGCUUUGGGCAUUAUUUUGUUUGCUUGUUGUUACUUGUGUUAAUUGUGUACCCUGUUACUUAUCUACCAUUAGAGGAUAUGGAACCUAUUGAGAGCCAUGUAUGCACAGAAGUCUUAGAUUUGAACUAUUCUGCUCUCAGUGAUUUGAAAGAUUUACCCCUUCUGGGAAUAAAUUAUGAAUGGAGGCAGCUUUAUGCUAAUAGGAGGAGAAGGGCAGGCUAUGCUAUGGUCACCGUAUCCUCUGUUCUUGAGGUCACCCCACUGCCCCCUGGAACGAGUGCCCAACUGGCAGAACUGGUAACACUUCAUAAAGCGUUGGGAUUGGCUGCGGGCUAUAGGAUGCUGCCUUGUGGGCUGGACGGGGAUCUGAUCAGUCUGUUAAAUAUAGAACUCUGAUUGCUCGGGUGCUAUAGGCAGUUCAGCCCACAGCCGUGGCAGUUAUGCAUUGCAAGGAACAUCAGGGUGGGCAGGACCCUAUAGCGCAAGGGAAUGCCUUUGCGAUCCCUGCUUUCCAUGUUCCCUUAGUAAACCAUCCACAUCCUUUACCUUUGACCCCUGAAUAUACUAAGGAAGAUUUGCAGUCCCUACCCACUCGCCCCAUGAGGACUGGACAUAGAAUAAGAAUGAGUGAUGUAUUGAAUUUGAGCUUGUAUUGCAAUUAUGUCAAAAAGCGCAGUCUAACGUAUUCUGUUUGUGAAAGACAGUUAUUUCAAUUGUCCUAUUGGCUUUUGUUUUGAUUUGUAAAUAUAAUUUUCCCUCGGGUUCAACAUAGUGGGGCUUAUUUGUGAGUAAGCAUGCAUUUGUUUCAAUUUGAUUAGUUAGAAUGUGAACUUGAGAUGUGUAACAGCCCAGUUCUGCUCAUUGGAGUUCCAAGUUCAUUCCCCAAGUGAUUGUGCACAGAAUUGGCUGCCCUAAUAUUUGGGUUUUUGAUAGAACUUUGUAUAAUGAUGUCUUGUAUGAUCUCAGUGUAUGAUGUAUGUGUAGUAUUGGUUCACCCUUGAGGGAGAUAUAGGUUGCUUCAAUAGAUAUGACGGUUCAGAUACGAACAACAGAAAGGUGGGAAUUGAUGUAUAGUAAAGCUGUAAAUGCACAGCUUGAAGUAGUUUGAAUAAUGGUUCUCUAUUAGGGAACUAGCUUUGCCUGCAGUAUUCCCUCUAGGUUACAGUGACCAUCUGUGGAAUGUGUUAUGUAGAAGAAGGGAGAUAAGGCUGUCUGUCUGCCUGCGUGCAUGUUUGUGGUUUAUUCCCUAAUCCUAGCAAGUCAUGAUGACGUAUUUGCUAUGUAGCUGAACAACAUGUUAUUCUGGAGAACAAUUAUAAGAGUAUAAAUGUAUGCUCUCUGUAAUGGUCCUUUGUCCUGCUUUGAGCAUAAGCCAAAGUAGUACCUCUGCAGAAUAAAAGCUUUGAUCUUUAA